rnacentral:lncRNA from 1 species
CAUGAUCCUCAGCUCUCAUAAUGCACAGUGUGUUCUCAGCUCUAUAUGAAAAUAGAUAGGAGAGUGAUUCAGAGGAUUAAGUUGAAGGCUGAAAAAUCAUUGAGGAUUUUAUUUGCUCUUCUUUUAGAUAUCCUUUGAUUGGAUCAUUGUGAAGAUGAGCACGCUGGAGUGCCUUCCUCAUGGUCACACAGAAGGAGGAAGAAGCUCACUGCAUCCAGGCACAUCUGCAUCAAAAUCAGAGCUGAAGAGCCCACAUGGGGGUGGAGUCUCUAUGGCAAAAAAGCCCUUCCUGCAUUUUGGCAGUUACACAGGCUUUCUGAGAAGAUGGGGUAUUUUUCACUAGACUAUGAUCAUCAGUGGACCUCUAUCUUGUUUUAUCUGAGAUUAUUCUGAGUUUCUGAUAAAAGUUAUGGGCCCUGUUUCUGAAAACAUACACACAAGAAGCAAUACUCUGCUUAUACUUUUGGAAAGUGGGGGAGGUCACAGACCCCAGAAGCCCAUUCUUGAGUUGAGAAUCCCUGACCUAAAGAAGGCUCUUAUCUUUUUUUUUUUAAUUUUU